UGGUUACCAAGCAACCAUACUUCCUAGUCUAGCUAACCAAAUCAUCAGUCCUAGCUUGCCAGUUCGAUUGGGCACAGCAAGAGUUCAGUACGUUUCCACCAAUAGCAAGCGCUAGCGGGAGAAGACUGGGCUAGUUUUGAAGUUAAAAUCAUUAUUGCCUUGUUGUACUUUAACAACGGUCAACUGGACAUCGAGCCCUCCUAUGAGGGCUGAGCAGAGUUGAACCAUGAUGUCCCUGGAGGGCAGAGCACCCUGCGCCAGGUGACCAUACAUGAGAACCAGCUGUGGCAGUGCAGGGUCCAGAUCCCUGGAGACGACAAGGGGAAGCUGUCCGCCAUAUACAAUUGGUGGUCCUGGUCCCUCUGUACCUGUAGGACAGUGCAGGGUGAAGCAGAGUACUGGACCAACAACACCCCCAGAGCAUUCCCACCUAGGACCACUGAAGGUUUCCGUGCAGUUCUCUCUUUUCAAUAUCUCUAUGGAGACUUCUGGUUUCUACAUCUGCAUGGCAACCAACCAGAAUCACUCUGCCAGCUCAAACUUUACUGUCAUGCCCCAUAAGUAUUCAGUAUACCUUUUUUUUUGUGAUCAAAUGUUUGUAUUAUUUUUAAUAAGGUACACAAAACAGGUACACAUGGACAGAAAAAUAAGUGACAAGACCGAGCAAGACAAACAGUUCCCUGCACCACGCCCCACCCACAGGACUUCCCCAAAUGUAGAUUAGUGUUUCACAAUAGCAGUCUUUUUACAGUCAUUCAAAUCAAAUCAAAUGUUAUUUGUCACAUACGCCCUGAAUACAACAGGUGUAGACCUUACAGUGAAAUGCUUACUUACAAGCCCUUAACCAACAAUGCAGUUUUAAGAAAAUA